rnacentral:pre_miRNA from 1 species
UAUUAAAAAUUCCAUCUAUUUUUACUGUUAAAAACUGAUGUUGUUGACAUACCACAUAUACCUAAUGUAAACGUACAAGGAUCAGUUUUUAAUAGUGGAAAUGAAUGGAAGUUUUAACA